rnacentral:lncRNA from 1 species
GAGAAAAUGUGGUGGCAGAAGAAGACACCACAGGAGUUGUUGAGGCGUGGGUUAGGAAGUAGACAACAAAACUGGCACCAGGAAUGACAGCGAGGCUGGCACAGACUUCCAAGUGCGAGGCGGUGUGGAGGGCUGUUUCCUUGAAUGGCAGCUGAAUGCACCAGCAGGAUCCUUGGCAGCGAUGCCCAGGCACUGAAGCUGGGCAUUCAGGAGAGCUAAAUGAAGAAAAGAAACUUGAGCAAACUACUUCCUGGAACACCGAGAACCUGAUUGGGAAAUUAAGAAGUACCAGAUUCUCUCUAUUCUCCCACCAGCCAAGAAAAUAGUGUUACUGCUUUAUUACGCUCUUGCUUGAGAAGUUUUUCCCCAUCCUAAAGUAACAACUUCAUACCACAAGUCAAGCAGAAGCAUGGUGGAAGGGUUCAUCUGGGGAGACAAGUGGCUUGUUCUACAUCUCAAAGGGACACCUCCUUAGGUGAGAGGUAUUGGAUGCACCAGCUUGCCUGUUGACCAUUCUCUUGUGAUGAAAGGUCUGGCCUUUGUCUGCCUGGCAGACAAAAAUCUUUCACUCAGCAGGACACCUAGACAGGCAGGAAUAACUGCCACAGUCAAGCACUCAGUACCAGUAAGGAGGCUGAACUGAUAGCAAAAGACCUGGAAGUCACAGGCUUUUGUUAACUCUGCACUGUCUGCCUGGUGCCCACUGGAACGCUAGUUUCCAGCCUAGAAACCUAGCAGCUUGGGAAAGCGACACCCUCCGUCUGAAGCGCAGGAGAGGAUUCCUCCAGCUAUUUUCAACUUUUCAGGAAGCUUAAAAGUAAUUGUUUGUCUCCAGCGAUAAGGGAGACCACCCCCGACCCCCUGAAUCCAGAAUACAGAGUUUCUUUGGCCUGUGGUAUCGGGGUGACCCAGAGGCCCCUAACCCAAGACCAGCAGCAGGGCUCCCAGUGAGCUUGGGGGAAAAGAGGAGGCCCCACAGCAACGCCACUUGGAGCCUGUGGACAGCCCCCAACUCCUGACCGGCCCUGCUUUGCUCUCGAAGAACAUCUUUUUCUGGAGAUCUCGGCUGCGCCAGAGGCCUGACUUUGGUGUGGAGCUGUGGCAAGAUGUGUGACCUCAACUGAAGACAGGGCUCCCUCCUUCCCAGACCUCCCCAGGCUCUUUUCUAGUCAUGGCCUGAGCUGGGGCAUGAUGGAGACUUCAGCCUACUUCCUUCCCUCUACCUCUGUGCCAAGCCUCCAGGGCCAGAUCAAAGAGCUUCCUCUCUGAGUCUCAGGUUCCCCAUCCACGAAAUGGAGAGCUGACGACCUACCUCCCAGGGGUUUGUGCGGAUGGCCUAAGCUAAUGUAAUAAAGCGACUGCCCAUGAUACCUCCCCCCCCAAAAAAUGUAAUUGUUUGUUUACUCAAAAUAAAGCCACAAGGAUGACUUUUAGUUGGGGGAAAAAAGGACUCCUUGAUUUCCUUUUGGGAAGAUAAAUUCGUUAUUAUUUAACAAAUGCGUUUGCUUGUAAACAAAAUCUUUCAAAACAGAGAUUCUGUGAGGGAAAUCAUAUUAAAAGGAGUUUUCAGUGGGGAAGAGAUUAGGAAACCCUGUCCUAGAGACAACUGUUUAAGGGAUGAAAUUUCUCAAUUUUUCAUUUUCAUAAAAAAUUUACAAACAGUGGCUAACUUCCCAUUAUACUCUGCAUCUCAUUCAUUCGAGGUACUGAAUAUUUAAGAAGAUUAUUAGAGGAGUGGCCGUGGGAAAUUCCAGAGCUGCUGGCGCCUGCAGAGACUUCCUCUACUGAGUGUCUCAGCUCCCAGACACUGCCCCCAGAGCUGCAAGGAAAUGGUGGAAAUUCAGUAGAAGGAGGUCUUGCUUUAGCCAGCGAGGCUGCUCAUAGAGUUGUGGUUUCUUCAAAGAGGUUCUACCAAAGUAGUGGCAGAGCAUGCAUACCGACGUGCACGGAUUCAAGAAAUGUAGGCAAUAACAUUUAUUAUUAGCCAUCCUCUCGUUUCAUCAGCAAGAAAAAAAUCAGUUACUUUCAGUUGGCACAAAAGUACAUUUAUUCACUAACACAUCAGGCAUUGCUCGUGCACCUAUCAUAUGCCAGGCUCUGUGCUAAGUGCUGGGGAUAUAAAGAUGAAUAAGACUCAUGGUGCCAUAAUCAGAAUUGUCAAAAACUGACCUUGCUGGCUCAUUCUGGGUUGCCUGGACAAGAAGCCAGUGGGGACCUGAGCUUCUGACCUCCCAGCAGGAUGAGUUGCACCCAAACUUCUCAUGGGACCAAUUUCUCCCUUUCCUAGAACCCAGGUCCUUGGGUGCUGAACGGUUGGUUUUGCCAGGUAACUCCUAUAAAGAUCUAGGUCAGAUGAUACCCAAGAAGUCUGAUUAUCUACCCACCAACUAGGUCAUUCUCACUCUUGCCCUAUAAGAAGGAGAGCAGCGAGUGGCAAGUUCCUUUCCCUGGAAUGUCCACCCAUGGUGCGUCCAGCAGAGAAACUUAGCCCAUCUUGUCUCUUCUCUUGUUCAUUCAUGCUUUGUAAAUUUCCCCAAUAAAGUCUAUGAAAUUUCAUGGAAUUCAUCACAAGUCCUUUUGCAUGACAAGUGAUGCACAGGAAAGGAUCCAUCUUAUAUAACAAUGCUUCCAACCUUUUGGGAUACCACUAGGCACAAUGCUGAAAUCACCUAUUCCAGAAGAAAUCUUGUCCUUCGACAAAAAGAUUUAAUUUUCAGUUCUUGUGGGAUCUGGCCAAGGGAGGAAGUGAGAAACACUUCAAGGAGUCUGCAGUCCUUCCCAUCUGAGGAAGGCAGAGGUUGCGCAGUGGAACUCCAGGGUUCCUUCUCCAACAGCUCAGCUCCUCUGUGACCGUGCCCAUCUUAAACCUCCCUCAACAACUCAUCGCACAGAUGUUUGUUUCAUUUGUUCAUUCAUUUAGUCACUUAAUCAGGGCUGUUUUAAGACUUAAGAGAGAUAAUGGACAGGAAAGUGCCUUAAAAAAAUAUAAAGCUCUCCCCAAGUAACAUAUUUUGAAUAUCAAAGGUAUAUUUACUAUAGAUUAUCAGUUCUUCUCUUUUUUUGGUCUUAAGCUGGGAACUUAUUCUCCGGAUAAAGGCUUAUUAUGAAGCCCAAGAUAUAAAAUACAUGUACGUGGACCUACUCCAAUUGAAGUGAGGUGGAGGUUGGAACUCCAACGCUUCCAAGGAGCACAUUUGAAAAGAGAUGCCAAAGGGGCAAAAGAGUUUAGAAGGUUCUUUAAAAAAUAAAUCCCAACAGUUCUGUAGCUUGACUGUGACGGUGAAUACAUAAACCUGCAUAUGUUAUAAAUUUGCAUAGAGCAAAACACGCUCAUACACAAACGAAUAUGUGUAAAACUGGUGAAAUCUGAAUAAGAUUGGUGGAUUGUAUCAAUGUCAGUUUUCUGGUUGUGAUAUUGUACUAUAGCUUUGCAAGAUGUUACAAAUGGGUAAAACUGAGUGAAAGGUACACAAGACCUCUGUAUUAUUUCUUCCAUCUGCAUGUGAAUCUAC